rnacentral:rRNA from 1 species
AUUGAACGCUGGCGGCAUGCCUUACACAUGCAAGUCGAACGGUAACAGGUCUUCGGAUGCUGACGAGUGGCGAACGGGUGAGUAAUACAUCGGAACGUGCCCGAUCGUGGGGGAUAACGGAGCGAAAGCUUUGCUAAUACCGCAUACGAUCUACGGAUGAAAGCAGGGGACCGCAAGGCCUUGCGCGGACGGAGCGGCCGAUGGCAGAUUAGGUAGUUGGUGGGAUAAAAGCUUACCAAGCCGACGAUCUGUAGCUGGUCUGAGAGGACGACCAGCCACACUGGGACUGAGGCACGGCCCAGACUCCUACGGGAGGCAGCAGUGGGGAAUUUUGGACAAUGGGCGAAAGCCUGAUCCAGCCAUGCCGCGUGCAGGAUGAAGGCCUUCGGGUUGUAAACUGCUUUUGUACGGAACGAAAAGACUCUUUCUAAUAAAGAGGGUCCAUGACGGUACCGUAAGAAUAAGCACCGGCUAACUACGUG